rnacentral:rRNA from 1 species
AGUGAACGCUGGCGGUAGGCCUAACACAUGCAAGUCGAACGGCAGCACAGGAGAGCUUGCUCUCUGGGUGGCGAGUGGCGGACGGGUGAGGAAUACAUCGGAAUCUACCUUUUCGUGGGGGAUAACGUAGGGAAACUUACGCUAAUACCGCAUACGACCUACGGGUGAAAGUGGGGGACCGCAAGGCCUCACGCGAUUAGAUGAGCCGAUGUCCGAUUAGCUAGUUGGCGGGGUAAUGGCCCACCAAGGCGACGAUCGGUAGCUGGUCUGAGAAGAUGAUCAGCCACACUGGAACUGAGACACGGUCCAGACUCCUACGGGAGGCAGCAGUGGGGAAUAUUGGACAAUGGGCGCAAGCCUGAUCCAGCCAUACCGCGUGGGUGAAGAAGGCCUUCGGGUUGUAAAGCCCUUUUGUUGGGAAAGAAAUCCUAUCGGUUAAUAACCGGUGGGGAUGACGGUACCCAAAGAAUAAGCACCGGCUAACUUCGUGCCAGCAGCCGCGGUAAAAC